UUAGCUUGUUGGCGGGGUAACGGCCGACCAAGGCAACAAUGGUAGCCGAUUUGAGAGGAUGAUCGGCCACACUGGAACUGAAACACGGUCCAGACUCCUACGGGAGGCAGCAGUGGGGGAAUAUUGCGCAAUGGGCGAAAGCCUGACGCAGCGACGCCGCGUGAGGGAUGAAGGUUUUCGGAUCGUAAACCUCUGUCAGAAGGGAAGAAACUACGUUGUGCUAAUCAGCAGCGUAUUGACGGUACCUUCAAAGGAAGCACCGGCUAACUCCGUGCCAGCAGCCGCGGUAAUACGGAGGGUGCAAGCGUUAAUCGGAAUUACUGGGCGUAAAGCGCACGUAGGCUGUAGUGUAAGUCAGGGGUGAAAUCCCACGGCUCAACCGUGGAACUGCCUUUGAUACUGCACAACUUGAAUCCGGGAGAGGGUGGCGGAAUUCCAGGUGUAGGAGUGAAAUCCGUAGAUAUCUGGAGGAACAUCAGUGGC
rnacentral:rRNA from 1 species